rnacentral:rRNA from 1 species
UACGAAGGGGGCUAGCGUUGCUCGGAAUCACUGGGCGUAAAGCGCACGUAGGCGGAUUGCUAAGUCAGGGGUGAAAUCCUGGAGCUCAACUCCAGAACUGCCUUCGAUACUGGCGAUCUUGGAGUCCGGGAGAGGUGAGUGGAACUCCGAGUGUAGAGGUGAAAUUCGUAGAUAUUCGGAAGAACACCAGUGGCGAAGGCGGCUCACUGGCCCGGUACUGACGCUGAGGUGGCGAAAGCGUGGGGAGCAAACAGGAUUAGAUACCUUG